rnacentral:lncRNA from 1 species
AAUCUUUGAUUCUUUUCCACCGCCACAACCACAAAAUUUCCACCAGCCUGCCACUAUUGCAUCACCAGAUACAAAAACGGAAGCAUACCAUUAAGCAAAUCUCCUGAUUCAAUACCAUAAAAAAAUGAAUCUCUGCACCAUUAUUUUCCUCUUCCUAUCUUAUUGUUAACCUUGGAUAGAUUUGCUUGCCGCCAAUGUAAGUCCCGUAACAUUACUGUCAAUAUAUAAAAAGGAGCAGUAGUUUGACACUCUUCUUUUGCUUAUUUAUAUCUAUACAUUGAAUUUUUCCUUUUGGAGUUCUAAAGCACAAACCUCUUACUUCCAUUACAAAAUCUUUCUAAGCUUAAUUUAUGGCGGAUUUUGACUGAGAAAGUAGUAUUUUCGAAGUUAUGAUUCGUGGCCUGAAUGGUUUCCUCAUUAUAAAUGACAGUAGCUAUAAUAGAGAGGUUCGUUAGUUUGGCUUGAUUUUCCAGUGGGAAGAAUUCUCAGAUUGUCUUAAAGUGAGGGAAGGUAGCAGGUAGUCUAAGAUAGGAAAGAGAUUCCCGGCGAGAUUUUCGGUGGUCGGAGGUGGUCUCAGGCAUAGGUAGAAGUGACACCAGCAAUAAAGGAGAGGGCGAGAGAUUCGGGAAAACUUAAUUGAACUAGAAGUUUUUUCUUUAAAAGUGAAAUCCACAUCACAUAUUAAUUGGUCUUUUAAAAUAAAAAUAUAAAACAUGUCAGACGUUUGAGAUUAACACACCUUGUUGUUGUCAAAGGUUAUCAAUUACUUGUUUAAUAGACACAUUUUCACCACAUACUAAGUAUUCAAUAGGAACAUGAGUUAGUUCAAGUGUUUAAAUAGAAAAAUAGGACAAGUUUAAGGAGCUGUAUAUUUAUUUGGCCUUUGAAUUUUAUAUAAUGCAAAUAAUCAACGAAACUUUCUGAGCAACUGAGCUUAAUCAAUUGAAGGAAGUAAGUAACUAAUUCAUUAACUAAUGUUCCUAAUGUGUUGAGACCAUAUAUUUGUAUCAAUAUUAGACUAUACUCUACGAAAAUUUGUGAAAGUGUGAACAUAACCAUAAAAACAUCGUUUUGUUAUUUGUUUAUUUUUCUUCAUUUGUGUUUUCUUAGAGAAGACAGACCUAUUAAAUAUUAUUCUGCUCCUAGAUAAUUUUGAAAGAAUGCGAAUACUAUCACUUAAGGUAUCAUCAGGGGCAUAUGCAGAAAUUUUUAUAAAUAUGGUCGAAAUUUAUAAAUAAAAAAAGAUAGGAAUAUAACUUUGAUUAUCACACUUUUAGACAAGAAAUAAUCUUAAUUUAUUGACUUUGUUAAGUAUUAAGCAAAUAUUUACAAAAAAAAAAUUUCUUAGUUGAGAUUUGAACUUUUGACCUCCUAGAAAAAAUUCAAGUACAAUACCAACACACAAUUUAUGUUAAAUGAUGUCAUUUUUUUCUACUUAAUAAUUUCUGUAAAAUAUUAAUAUAUAUUUAAUAACAAAAUUUGACGAAACAGUAUUGUAUGACACCGCUUCGAUAAGCAUAAAUUUGCCCCUGGUUAUCACGUACAUAAUUUUACAAAGGAAAAAUAUUUAAAUUUAUCCCUUUACUUUGAUAUAUAUUUUAUAUUUAUCUUUCAUUUCCGUUUGCGUCUAAUGUAUCUCUACGGUUAUAUAAAGUUGACAAAUUCACCCAACCCUAAUGGAGGUCCACAUGAAAUGGGACCCAUCACUUAAAAAUUGACACCUGAAUUACAAAUGACCCAAUCCAAUUUAUCACCUAAUUCCCUUUUACAACAUAUUGGGUAAAGAAACAAUCAAGUAAUCAACUCUUCUUGUGAGAACCAACUUUUCUUGUGCCCAUAUUUUUUCAUCUCAUUUCGUACAGCAAAUUCCACAUGCUACUAUGUACAUGAUAUCUGUAUUAAAUAAUAAUUAGAAUGUUCAAGAGAUUAUAUUUAUAUAUUGUAAUGUCAAAUUAUAGUUUUUGGACCAAGUAAGAAAUUAAUGAAAAAAAAAGUUUAUUUUAAAAAUUAUUUGGGUGAAAAAAAAUAUUUUUAAAUAAAAUAUAAAUCGAAUAAGCUAUUAAAUUUAAUAUAGAAUUUAUUAAAUUAAAAUAUAGUAAAGUUAAAGCAUCAGACAGAGUAAGGAGAUUAAGUUGAGAAAUCAAUUAAAAUAAAAUAUAACAACUAUUAGAAAUGACAAGUAUAGAAUAAAAUGGCUGGUUUUAACUUAAAAGUCACAAAAGGUACAUGUUAUUAAUUUUUUUAUUUAAAAUCGCUAUAUUACUAACAACUCAGCAGGAUAUAAGGUAAUGACUAAAUGUAGUAAAUUGAUCUUGAAAAUCAAUUCACUAGAAUACUAGUAUUAGGAAAAUAAUUCAGGAAAUGACGGCAAGGCAAUAAGUCGAUGACUAUAACUCAAUCCUCGAAAACUAGGAAAAAAUCGAAAAUACAAAUCCUCAGAGUCUCGUACGAAAGAAUCGAAGCCAACAAUAUAACAAGGAAUACAAAACACAUAAACUAUUGCAGGGUGCAACUCGAUCCCAUCAUAUAAUGCUAUUUAUACUUAUUCCAACAUGUGAAUAUCAAUAGUAAUGAAUAAAUAUAUAUAUAUAUUGCGGCGCGCAAUCACCAUAUAAUAUCAAUAUCAUUAUUCACCAUUAUUAUAUCGUAUCAAUUCACUCUUAUUUUACCUGUUGCGACGUACAACGCGAUCCUACUGUACAAUAUCAAUAUCAUAACAAUAAACAAAAUAUGUUGUGAUGCGCAAUCUGAUCCCACCAUAUAAUAUCAAAAUCAUAAUUAACCUUUAUUUCACAUGUUACAGCAUGCAACCCGAUUCCCCGUACAAUAAUUUAAAUCAACAGCAACAAUUCAAUAACUCAAUAGACAAGAAUUUCAACAAUCAAGGGUAUGAGUACACAACAACCAAGGGACCGGGUAAAAUCAAAGGAAUAUGACGAAUUUUACAAAAACAACAAGACAGCUAAGGCAAGCGAUAACUAAGUAUGUAUCACAACAAUUAGGACAUGCAACAGAUAAGCACAAAGUCAGAGAAAAAAUUCAACAAUUAAGAGGUAAUAAGACAAUAAGAAGGCAGUAACCACAACUAAGGCAUAUAAGAGCCAAAUAACGAGUCGAGGUACAAUAAGUGUUAACAGCGUCAAAUAGAGCAUGUAAGUAUAGACUAACAACGAGAUAUCACAUGUUAUGACAACUCAAUUAAAGGUGUGAGAAGAGACUAAAUAUUCUGAAUCGGUCAAUUAUUACAUAGAACGUGUACCCACUCGUCUUCUUGUGUACACAGCUUUCACAUAGCAAGAUAGCACAAUUAACUCAAUUCCUAAGGAGUAGUUUUGUCACGACCUGGGUUUUCCACCGUCGGUACCGUGAUGGAGCCUGAUAUUUCACUUGCUAGGCAAGAUAACGUUAGGACAUAUUGUCCAUUUUUGACAUUCUAAAAUUAAUCAAUAAAGAAGAACUGAUUUAACUACAAUAAUUCAAAUGUAAAUGUGGAAGCUAAAAUCGUAAAACAUCUACUACAAAUUCUUGAAUCAGGUGUCAUAAGUGCAUGAGCUUCUAGAGUAAUACAUAUAAGGGUCUAAAAUAAAUACGAAGCUAUUUGAAUGAAAAUACACAGCUAAAUAAAAAAAGGAUGGGGACUUCAAGAGCUGUGGGCAUAGAACACUGUACCUAAAAUCUAUGCAAAUGUUCAAUUCGAGCAUGCUAAUAACCACCGUUAGGACCGACUCUAAAAUAUGCACAGUGUAGUAUCAGUACAACCGACCUCAUGUAUUGGUAAGUGACGAGCCUAACCUCGACGAAGUAGUGACGAGGCUAAGGCGGGUCACCUACACUAUAACAUAUAUGUAGUAUAUAUAAUAAUGACACGAUAAAAGAAAUACUAAACAAAAUUAAACAGUCAACUGAAAAUGAUAACCACAACCUCAAGAACAAACCAACGGCGUCCAGAAUUACCAAUCAUUAAUAGUUUAAAUACAAAUACUGGAGAACCAACAUAGCUCAAGAAAUAGAAACAUAUAGAUUGUUGCGACGCGCAACCCGAUACCACCAGAAAACACAAAAUCCUCCCUUAUUUCAUCGUGAUAGCAUCAACAACAGAGAUAAUAUACAUAAAUAUAUUGCAGGGCGCAAUCCGAUCUCACCAUAUAUCAAUAUCAGUAUCGUAUUCACCAAUAUUCCACCCUUAUUCCACUUGUUGUAGCGUGCGACCUGAUCCUGCCAUAUAGUAUAUAGUCGCCCUUACUUUACCAUAUCAUUCCACCCUUAUUACACUUGUUGCGACGUCCAGCCCGAUCCCACUAUAUCAGUAGCAAAUACAAUAUGCACAGUCAAAUUAACAGUUCAAACCACCAAACCUUUACAAUCAAUAAAUGUCAAAGUGAACUGAAUUGGAAACCUUGAACAAUAUAAGAAUCUACGUAAGUAAUAUUACGCAGCGAGACAAUUCGAGCAAUUUACAAUUAGAAAGUACAAGCAAGUCAAAUUUAACAAAUAGCAGGGUUUCGUGAAACUAUGAAAGAGCUAACAUCAUGAGCUGGAGAAUACAUUGAUUAACAAGUAGCAGUUCAGCAGGGAAAAUAUUUAUAGCAUUUAACAAUUAAGACAAGGAAAAAAGCAAUUGAGUAAAAGUGGAAAAUCGGGAAAAAUAGAUAAUUCUGGGGGAAUGGUUAGAAUCACUUACCAAUAUUUUGGGGAAGAAAUGGUCUUGGAAAAAUCACCUCUAGUGUUCUACGAUUUAAAAUUUUGAUGAAUGAGAAAAAAUCCCGUCUAAAUUAAGUUUUGAUCAGUUGCAGGUGUUUCACUUGCGACCUGGGUUCACAAAUGCGAACUUUCCUUCGCAAAUGCGAAAAGUGCCUCCGCAUGCUGCCUUUGCAAAUGCGAACAAUUGUUCGCAAAUGCGGCCUAUGAUGAUUGCAAUUACGAUCUAGAGCUUCGCAAUUGCAAAUGUCCCCCUCCAGCCCCACUGCUCGCAGAUGUGAUGGCUUCUUUGCAAAUGCAAGCCAGACCUUGCAAAUGCAAAGUCUAUAGAUCAAGUGCAUCAAUUGGUGUGUGUUUUCUAAGUUCAAACACUCUAUAACCUAUCUAAAACUCACCUGAGCCCUCAAGGCUCCAAACCAAAUAUGUAUACAAGUCCUAAAAUAUCAUAUGAACUUGUUCGUGUGCUCAAAUCGCCAAAAUAACACCUAGAACUACGAAUGAAUACCAAAUCGAAUGAAAUUUUCAAGAAAGCUUUAAAACAUCUAUUUUCACAACUGGGCGUCCAAAUCAGGUCAAACUAACUCUGUUUCUCAUCAAAUUUCACAGACAAGUCAUAAAUAUUAUAAUGGACAUGUGAUGGGCUCCGGAAUCAAAAUAUGGACCUGGUAUCAACAAGGCUAAACUUCAAUCGAUUCAUAAAACCAUUAAACUUUUAGAGUUUUAAUUUUUAACAAAAAAUCAUAACUUGAGCUAGGGACCUCCGAAUUCGAUUUCGGGCAUAAGCCCAGAUUUUAUAUUUUGAUACGGACCCACCAGGACCACAAAAACACAUACCCGGGUCUGUAUACUUAAAAUGCUAACCGAAAUCAACUCUAAUUAAUUUUUAUAGCAAAAAUUCUUAUUUUUGUCAAUUUUUAACAUAUAAGCCUUCCAGAUCAACACCCAGACUGCACAUGCAAAUCAAGGAAGGGUAAAAUGAGGUUCUAAAGGCCUUGAAACAUACAAUUUGAUUCUAAAACCUUAGAUGAGCUAACUUUGUUUUGAGUAAUUGCAUUUUGCUCGGUAGUUUAGGGGCACGAGCAGCUAUGUAUGAUGUAUUAGGACUUGUUGAUAUGUUUGUAUGGAGUUUCAAGGGGCUGGGGUGAGUUUCUAAUAUGUUUGGGGUGCGUUGGGCUUACUUUUCUUAUGUUUUGACGUUAUUUCUUCAAGUAUAAAUGGUACCACAUUAAACAAAUGAGCUCCGAUUUCUGUUUUAAUUGAAGCAUUAGAUCCUUGUCGUAAUUACGGAUUCAUAUCAAAUAGAAUUAACAAAUUUGAACACUGUAUAAGGAAUUUAUGGUCAUUUUACUAAGAAUUUGGUUGUCAUAUUUUUUAUAUUAAUUACGAAAUUAUCACUGACUUCGUAUUUAUAAAUCAGCCUAUUUAGAUAAAAUGAAACGAACAUAUCUCCUCCAUUAUAAGGUUAAAUGGAGUGAUUCAAAAGCCUAGCUUGACUAAAAUUUCAUAAUGAAUCAAUUGGAGGCAUAAAAAGUGAGUUUCGGGAUCGUUUAGAAUGAGAAAAGAAGUAGAAUAGAUGUCAGAAAAUAUAUAAAAGAAUGGUUUGUUCAUUUGGUCAUAUUUUGAGUUUGGGAACUUGGAUUUUGGCGAUUUUGGAGAAGAUGUCCACCAUAUGGAUUGUGGUAAGUGUUCUCUACUCGUUUUUUUGUUAUAUUUUAUGAAUCCAUCUUCACUUUUGGGAUUUGAUUGAUUACUUCAAAGUGAAAUUUGAGGAUUUUUUCCCUAAAGUUUCAUAAAGUGAUUUUUUAUGUUUCGAACAUCGAUUCGAUGUCAGAUUUGAGUAAAACUAGUAUGGCUGAACUCAUAAUUGAAUGGACUGUCAGAUUUUGUAAGUUUUGUCAAAUUUUGAGGUGAGGACCCAUGUUAGGCUUUUGGUCGAUUUUGGGCUUUUGAUUAAAGAUUCGACCUUUUUCAAUUGGGAUUGGUUUCUUUAGUAUUAUUUGAUGUAUUUGAGUUGUUUUCUGGUUAGUUUCGAGUCAUUCGGAGGUUGGGACGAGCGUGAUGGCAUUUUUGGAGCAUCGCCGUUGGUUUGCUCGAUGUUGUAAUUGGCUUACUCAAAAUACAUAACUCUUCUAAACUUAGUGUUAAGGGUAUGAAACCCCAAAUUAUGUGUUGUGUCAUUGAUAUUAAUGUGACGCACAUGCUAGGGGACAACGUGUGAUCAUGCACCUUGUGAAUUAUAACUCCAUUGUUUUCAUGGCAAUGUUAAGUGACCCUAUUUUGUUGAUAUCUGUAUUUUUACCAUAUGAUUAAGUUAUUGGGUUGUCAAUCAUGCUAAAUAUCAUAUUUAGAUUUUAUGUUGAUAUUGUUAGGGCCCAUAGUGGUCGCUUCUUACUGUCAUCUCACUGGUUCUGUUAAUAUUUCAUACCCAGUCAUAUUCAUGCAUCUGUAUCAUAUCUCAGUCUUAACUGUUGUUUAUUGAUACAUCAUAUCGUUGUUGUCGGACUAGUUUUAUGAUAUUGUGAGCCCGUGAGUGAGAUUGGAGAGAUUGAUGAUUGAGAGGGACUGAGGGCCUAAUUAUGCGUUUAUUGAUACUAUAGCACGUGAGUUGUCCAUGCAACACAUGAUUUGUCUAUGCAGAUUAUGAUAUUGAUACUAUAGCACGUGAGUUGUCUGUGCAACAUGUGAGUUACCCAUGCAGAUUAUAGUGCUUGUUCUGAAGGAGCCCCUCCGGAGUCUUUAUACCCUAGUGAGCGCAGUUGACUAUGAAUAAUAUAUAUGGAUCUAGUUGCACGUCGCGACCAGUAUUGUACAGUGCUGAGUAAUUGAGUGCACUUAGUACUGAGCAUAGUAAUAGAUAAUAUGAGACAGUAAGGUUGAGUACUCCGAGAGUAUGAGUACAUAAGUUCAUCAAUGAGAGGCAUUGUAUUUGACAUACAUACUUGAAAUACACGCAUAGAGAUGUAUUUCCUUUUUCUACCCGAUUUUUGUGACAUUCAUGAUUUUCUAUAUGUAUCUUGACAUGUAGGCAUAGAUAUAUACUUCCUCACGCUAUCUAAAAAUGAAACAUUUACCUGAAAAAAAGUUUUUUGGGGGGAAAAUUAUAGUUUUCAAACUUACUCGUAUGUUUAGAUGAUUUCAAUAAAGAAUUUGGGUUUUCACUAAUAUACUUGAACAAUGGAUCUGUUUUCGGAAAACUAUGAAAAACCUGAACAUUUUAUCUCUGGGUUGCUUCUUUAUUUACUUGCUUUAUAUUGUUAUGAAUUAUUGUUGAUUAUUGGUGUUGGACCCGACCUAUGUUCCAGCUCGUCGCUAUUUUUAUCUUGAGGUUAUGUUUGUUACUUUUUGAGUACAUGGGAUCAGUUGUACUCAUACUACACUUUCUAUACAUUGUGUGCAGAUCUCGGAUGCCAAUGUUGUUAUGUUCGAUGAGAGCUGGAAUGGAAGAUGUAUAUGUGUCC